GACGAACGCUGGCGGCGUGCUUAACACAUGCAAGUCGAACGGAAAGGCCCUGCUUUUGUGGGGUGCUCGAGUGGCGAACGGGUGAGUAAAACGUGAGUAACCUGCACUUGACUUUGGGAUAACUUCAGGAAACUGGGGCUCAUACCGGAUAGGAGCUCCUGCUGCAUGGUGGGGGUUGGAGAGUUUCGGCGGUUGGGGAUGGACUCGCGGCUUAUCCGCUUGUUGGUGGGGUAGUGGCUUACCAAGGCUUUGACGGGUAGCCGGCCUGAGAGGGUGACCGGCGACAUGGGGACUGAGAGACGGCCCAGACGCCUACGUGAGGCAGCAGGGGGGAAUAUUGCACAAUGGGCGGAAGCCUGAUACAGCAACGCCGCGUGCGUGAUGACGGCCUUCGGGUGGUAAACCGCUUUCGCCUGUGACGAAGCGUGAGUGACGGUAAUGGGUAAAGAAGCACCGGCUAACUACGUG
rnacentral:rRNA from 1 species